rnacentral:rRNA from 1 species
CACGGAGUUAGCCGAUCCUUAUUCUUCCAGUACAUUCAGCCAGAUACACGUAUCUGGGGUUAUUCCUGGACAAAAGCAGUUUACAACCCAUAGGGCAGUCAUCCUGCACGCGGCAUGGCUGGUUCAGGCUUCCGCCCAUUGACCAAUAUUCCUUACUGCUGCCUCCCGUAGGAGUCUGGUCCGUGUCUCAGUACCAGUGUGGGGGAUUCUCCUCUCAGAGCCCCUAGACAUCGUCGCCUUGGUAAGCCGUUACCCUACCAACUAGCUAAUGUCACGCGAGCCCAUCUCUAUCCUAUAAAUAUUUAAUCAACCGAACAUGCGAACUGUUGAUGUUAUGCGGUGUUAAUCUCUCUUUCGAGAGGCUAUCCCCCUGAUAGAGGUAGGUUGCUCACGCGUUACGCACCCGUGCGCCACUCUCACCAUUGGUAGCAAGCUACCAACGGAUCCCGUCCGACUUGCAUGUAUUAGGCCUGCCGCUAGCGUU